UACAGAGGGGGCAAGCGUUGUUCGGAAUUACUGGGCGUAAAGGGCGCGUAGGCGGCCUGCUAAGUCGAACGUGGAAUCCCCGAGCUCAACUCGGGAACUGCGUCCGAUACUGGCAGGCUUGAAUCCGGGAGAGGGAUGCGGAAUUCCAGGUGUAGCGGUGAAAUGCGUAGAUAUCUGGAGGAACACCGGUGGCGAAGGCGGCAUCCUGGACCGGCAUUGACGCUGAGGCGCGAAAGCCAGGGGAGCAAACGGG
rnacentral:rRNA from 1 species